GACGAACGCUGGCGGCGUGCCUAAUACAUGCAAGUAGAACGAGUUGCGAACGGGUGAGUAAUAUCUGGGAAACUGCCCGAUGGAUGGGGAUAACUACUGGAAACGGUAGCUAAUACCGCAUACCAUCGGAUGUGCCCAGAGGGGAUUAGCUUGUAGGUGGGGUAAUGGCUCACCUAGGCGACGAUCCCUAGCUGGUCUGAGAGGAUGACCAGCCACACUGGAACUGCGACACGGUCCAGACGCCUACGGGAGGCAGCAGUGGGGAAGAGUGCACAAUGGGCGGGAGCCUGAUGCAGCCAGGCCGCGUGUAUGAAGAAGGCCUUCGGGGUGUAAAGUACUUUCAGCGAGGAGGCGUUACUCGCAGAAGAAGCACCGGCUAACUCCGUGCCAGCAGCCGCGGUAAUAC
rnacentral:rRNA from 1 species